UGCUGAUGGUGAUGAUGAUGAUGAUGGUGAUGGUGAUGGUAAAGCUCGGACUGCUGCUUCUUGCUAUCGUGCUUGUUUCUCGCCAUCACCAUCAUCAUCAUUCAUCAUCAUCAUCG
rnacentral:miRNA from 1 species